UACGUAGGGGGCAAGCGUUGUCCGGAAUCAUUGGGCGUAAAGAGCGUGUAGGCGGCUCGAUAAGUCUGCUGUGAAGGUCCAGGGCUCAACCCGAACAGUGCACUGGAUACUGGGAGACUUGAGUGCGGGAGAGGAGAGUGGAAUUCCUGGUGUAGCGGUGAAAUGCGUAGAUAUCAGGAGGAACACCCGUGGCGAAGGCGGCUCUCUGGCCUGCAACUGACGCUGAGGCGCGAAAGCGUGGGGAGCGAACGGG
rnacentral:rRNA from 1 species